UGCUGUUUUUGGUUAUUAUCUUGAAUAUUAUUAUAGAAAGAGAUAAACUGCAAACAGCAAUAAUGUACAGCAAAGUAAGACCUAAAAAUAAGUCAACAUGACCAAAAUGGUCAAUUAACUCCUAAGGAGUUAUUGUCCUUGAUAGUCAAUUUUUUACAAUUUUCAUAAAAUUUGUAAAUUUUUACUACAAUUUUCCACUGAAACUACUGGGCCAAGUUCAUUAUAGAUAGAGAUAAUUGUAAGCAGCAAGAAUGUUCAGUAAAGUAAGAUCUACAAACACAUCACAAUCACCAAAAC
rnacentral:lncRNA from 1 species